rnacentral:rRNA from 1 species
AUUGAACGCUGGCGGCAGGCCUAACACAUGCAAGUCGAGCGAGCGGCGGACGGGUGAGUAAUGUAUGGGGACUGCCCGAUAGAGGGGGAUAACUACUGGAAACGGUGGCUAAUACCGCAUACUAUCGGAUAACCCAUAUGGGAUUAGCUAGUAGGUGGGGUAAAGGCUCACCUAGGCGACGAUCUCUAGCUGGUCUGAGAGGAUGAUCAGCCACACGGGGAACGAGACACGGGCCAGACUAAUACGGAGGCAGCAGUGGUGAAUGUUGCGCAAUGGACGGUAGCCUAAUUCAGCCAUGCCGCGUGUAUGAAAAAGGCCUUAGAAUUGUAAAAUACUUUCAGCGGGGAGGCGUUACCCGCAGAAGAAGCACAGGCUAACUACGUGCCAGCCGCCGCGGUAAUUC